AACCGGCGCACGGGUGCGUAACGCGUAUGCAACCCUACCUUUCACAGGGGGAUAGCCCGAAGAAAUUUGGAUUAAUACCCCAUAAUAUUAUUGGAUGGCAUCAUUUGAUAAUUAAAACUGCGGUGGUGAAAGAUGGGCAUGCGUCCUAUUAGCUAGUUGGAGUGGUAACGGCACCCCAAGGCUACGAUAGGUAGGGGUCCUGAGAGGGAGAUCCCCCACACUGGUACUGAGACAGGGACCAGACUCCUACGGGAGGCAGCAGUGAGGAAUAUUGGUCAAUGGUCGGAAGACUGAACCAGCCAUGCCGCGUGCAGGAAGAAUGCCUUAUGGGUUGUAAACUGCUUUUAUAUGGGAAGAAUAAGGCGUACGUGUACGUUGAUGACGGUACCAUAUGAAUAAGCAUCGGCUAACUCCGUGCCAGCAGCCGCGGUAAUACGGAGGAUGCGAGCGUUAUUCGGAAUCAUUGGGUUUAAAGGGUCUGUAGGCGGGCUAUUAAGUCAGGGGUGAAAGGUUUCAGCUUAACUGAGAAAUUGCCUUUGAUACUGGUAGUCUUGAAUAUCUGUGAAGUUCUUGGAAUGUGUAAUGUAGCGGUGAAAUGCUUAGAUAUUACACAGAACACCGAUUGCGAAGGCAGGGGACUAACAGACAAUUGACGCUGAGAGACGAAAGCGUGGGGAGCGAACAGGAUUAGAUACCCUGGUAGUCCACGCUGUAAACGAUGGAUACUAGCUGUUUGGCGCAAGCUGAGUGGCUAACCGAAGUGAUAAGUAUNCCACNUGGGGAGUACGCACCCAGUGUGAAACUCAAA
rnacentral:rRNA from 1 species